AAGACUAUGCUUUCAGCGAUCAUUUCUAUAGUUUCUGACUUGGAAGUUUGAUUUGAAAGUGUAACGUCUCUCUAUCCACGAUGACGAGUUAAGAUGCUUUCUUCUGAGCGUGAAUCGGGUGGUGAGCGACGAGCGAGAUUGUCUGCUCUUUGUCAUUGAUGAACGUUCCUGCUGUGCUUUGCAGUCUGGAAGAAGAAAGCAUGUUCAGAGUGGU
rnacentral:snoRNA from 1 species